CGGCAUCAGCUCAAAUUUGAAAUCUGGCUCUUUCAGGGUCCGAGUUGUAAUUUGCAGAGGGAGCUUUCGAGUUGGCAGCGGUCUAAGUUCCUUGGAACAGGACGUCACAGAGGGUGAGAGCCCCGUCUGGUUGGAUGCCAAAUCUCUGUAAAGUUCCUUCAAC
rnacentral:rRNA from 1 species